rnacentral:rRNA from 1 species
CCCGUCUCCCAUGAGAGGUCCAGCCUGCCCAGUGGAUUUACUAAACGGCCGCGGUACCCUAACCGUGCUAAGGUAGCGCAAUCACUUGUCCCCUAAAUAGGGACUCGUAUGAACGGCACCACGAGGGUUGUUCUGUCUCCCCCCUUUAAUCAGUGAAACUGACCCCCCCGUGAAGAGGCGGGGAUAAGCAUAUAAGACGAGAAGACCCCAUGGAGCUUUAAAUUCACGCCACCUAUCCUCCAAACACCCUUAAAACCGGGUAGCCCUGGCCACUGUUUUAGGUUGGGGCGACCACGGAGUAAAACUCAACCUCCGAGACGAAUAUUUAAUUCAAGAGCAACAACUCAAAAAAUCAAAACUGACGUAAUUGACCCAAAAAAAUCAUUUGAUCAACGAAC